rnacentral:rRNA from 1 species
GGCGACAAACAGUCAGUGUCCAAGCGAAAGUGAUAAGUGAUCCACCUGGGGACUACGGCCGCAAGGUUAAAACUCAAAGGAAUUGACGGGGGCCCGCACAAGCGGAGGAGCAUGUGGUUUAAUUCGAUGGUACGCGAGGAACCUUACCUGGGUUAGAACGUAUGAGCGAUGCAGCUGAAAGGUUGCAGGCCUGCGAAGGAGUUCAUACGAGGUGCUGCAUGGUUGUCGUCAGCUCGUGCCGUGAGGUGUUUGGUUAAGUCCAGCAACGAGCGCAACCCCUACCUUUAGUUGCCAUCAGGUAAAGCUGGGGACACUAGAGGGACUGCCUGCGCAAGCAGUGAGGAAGGUGGGGAUGACGUCAAAUCAGCACGGCCCUUAUGUCCAGGGCUACACACGUGCUACAAUGGUAACUACAGAGGGCAGCGACUAGGCGACUAGGAGCGAAUCUCGAAAAGUUAUCGUAGUUCGGAUUGGAGUCUGCAACUCGACUCCAUGAAGAUGGAUUCGCUAGUAAUCGCGCU